rnacentral:rRNA from 1 species
CGUUGUCGAUUACCCUUCGGUUCGGGAACUGACCCCCCCAAAGCUUUCCGGAAUUUUACAUUUCGGUCCGCGAGUAGGGGUCGGGGACGCCGUUGGAAUACGACGGACGCCUGCGACGAUACUGAUAGCAGACGGGUCGGUUCAAUAACGAAUUAGGCGGAGGUGGGGCUCUCUCGUUCUUUCAUUAGUUCGGAGCGUCACCCCUCGAUUAAACGCUCCGACCCGUGCGCGGCGCAUAUACGGCGCACGUCUAUCCGUCCCGUCUUGAAACACGGACCAAGGAGUCUAGCAAGUGCGCGAGUCAUAAGGGUUCACUAAACCUUAGAUGGCGUAACGAAAGUAAUGUAAAGCGAGAUUUAUCUCGACGAUGCGGUUAUGGGAGCAAUCCCAUAACCUCGUUGGACCGAUCCCCUCGGAAAUGCCUCGUUUCCCACCCUUCGCGGGGUGGCGAGGCCGCUACCAAUGUAUGAGGGGCGCAGGUCCGGAGGCCCGCCAUAUUAUCCUCUCUCUCCGUUUUACCGACCUCCCUCGUUCGCGGGGAUCAAAUGGGGCCGGGCGGAGAAGACGAUAGGCGGGUUCCAAGAGCGUUCGUGCUAGUACCCGAAAGAUGGUGAUCUAUGCCUGGCCAGGA